rnacentral:rRNA from 1 species
AUGGGGUCGCCGACGCCGCCGCCGCCACCGACGACGCCAUCAUCACGGGCCAGCUGUUACUCCCUGCGCCUCCGCCGGAGGCGGGCGGUGGCGGGUUUAAGAAGGAGCAGGCAGCCGCGGGGCAAGAUGAAGCUCAUGUACUUUCUGAUGGACGGCGAGGGGGAGGAGCAGCGGUGCCGGGCGGAGGAGCUCCGGCUGGAGGUGUCGGAGCUGGAGGCCGUGCUGGCCAAGGAGGAGCGCCUCAGCCGGGUCCUCCGCUGCUCGCUCCAGGCCGGCCGCCUGGACGCCGCCGCCUGCCGGUGCUGCCUCUCCGCCCACCUCGUCCCGGCCAAGAUCAGGGGGCUCCUCGCGGAGCUGGCGAUUGUGGAGGACGAGAUAUUCUACCUCGAGAAGAAGGUCGACGACCUGCGGACGCGCCUCCUCCGGGAGCGCAACUGGACCCACCACUGCAUUCUUCAGCAGCAGCAGCGGCAGCGGCAGCAGGACUGGCCGCCGGGCCGGCACUGCAUUGGCCGGAGGGAGCUCCAUGGCGGCGAGCAGCUCCCAAGGCUGCCUGGUCCAGGCGGCGGCGGCGGCGGCGAUGGAGGAGGUCUCGAGCGUGAGAGCAAGGCCUCUGCUGGGUCUGCCUCUUCGCAAGGCGAGGAGACUGAUCAGAGCAGAAGAAGCAGCCACUCUUUUGAAAAUCUCAGGCCUCCAGAAAGGAAAAUCUGCUCGAGCAGUCCAAACAAGCUGUCAGAAGAGCUCAUCAAGCUGACGGUGACCAUCUUCCACAAGCUGAGCAGGACAACGGAUCAUGCAGACCCAGAGCUGGAGCUGAGCAGCGCGCCGAAGCUCAACAUCACCUCCUGCAUAGGCUCCUCCAGAAGCCUCGCCCCCAAGUUGUCCUCGUCGUCGUCGAGCGACCGUGCGGCGCCGUCGCCCAUCCGCUCCGUCAAGAGCCGUGCAGCAGCGCCCCUGGAGUGCGGCGGCGACGAAGGGGAGCCGGCCGGCCGGUGCGAGAGGUUCGUCGAGUUCACCCGGAGCUCGUUCGACUCGAGCCGCGUGUGGCUGUGCCUCGCUGACAUCAAGAACUUGAGAGUGCUGAUGAACAAGCUGUGCACCGUGGAUCCGAGCUUCCUGACCAACAAGCAGAAGCUGGCCUUCUGGCUCAACAUCUACAACUUCUGCGUGAUGCAUGCAUUUCUUCAGCACGGUCUGCCUCCAUCGCCGGACAAGCUGCUGGCCCUGCUGAAUCAGGCUUCAGUGAACGUGGGAGGAAGGGUGCUGAGCGUCCUGUCGAUCGAGCGUCUGUUCCUCAGGCACCCCCCUGAUGAGGGCAACAAGCAGGGGAUGAUGAUGGAGGAAGGGGAGAGGGACAUGCAGCUCUGCUACGGGCUAGGGUACCCUGAACCCAACGUCGUCUUCGCGCUCUGCAGGGGCAGCCGCUCCUCGCCACCGGUAAGUAUCAGCUCGAUCGAUCGCGAUCCCCAACUGUUCUUGCCGAGCCUGACAGGAUCGAGGACGUACGAAGUGCAGGUCCGGGUGUACACGGCGGAGGAGGUGUCGAGCGAGCUGGAGGCGGCCAAGGUGGAGUACCUGGAGCGGUGCGUCCGCGUGGCCGGCGCGAGGAGGAAGAAGGCGAAGUCGAAGGCCGCGGCGGCGGCGGCGACGAUCGUGCUGCCCAAGCUGCUGCACUGGCACAUGCGGUGCUUCGCCGACGACGUGGAGUCGCUGCUGGAGUGGGUCCACAGCCAGCUCCCGCGCGCCACCAGGGCGCCCGAGCUCAAGAGGGCCAUCAGGGAACUCCUCCACCGCGGCAGGCCGCCGACGCCGGAGAAGAUGGUGGAGAUCGAGCCUUACGACGCCGACUUCAGAUACCUACUGCCCCUCGUCUCGUGA